GACGAACGCUGGCGGCGUGCUUAACACAUGCAAGUCGUACGGUAAGGCCCUUUCGGGGGUACACGAGUGGCGAACGGGGGAGUAACACGUGAGUAACCUGCCCACAACUUUGGGAUAACGCUAGGAAACUGGUGCUAAUACUGGAAAUGUGCUACUGCUGCAUGGGGGGGGUUGGAAAGCUCCUGCGGCUGUGGAUGGACUCGCGGCCUAUCAGCUUGUUGGGGGGGUAGUGGGCUACCAAGGCGGCGACGGGUAGCCGGCCUGGGAGGGUGAGCGGCCACAUUGGGACUGCGAGACGGCCCAGACGCCUACGGUAGGCAGCAGUGGGGAAUAUUGCACAAUGGGCGCAAGCCUGAUGCAGCAACGCCGCGUUCGGGAUGACGGCCUUCGGGUUGUAAACCGCUUUCAGCAGGGACGAAGCUUUUUGUGACGGUACCUGCAGAAGAAGCACCGGCUAACUACGU
rnacentral:rRNA from 1 species